UGCGCUGGAUGGGCGGUGCGCUGGCUCCGUUCGCGGCGGCGCAACUCGGCGAGCACUUCGGACCCCAGGUUCCGUUCUUUGCCGGCGCGG
rnacentral:tRNA from 1 species